rnacentral:rRNA from 1 species
CUGCUCAAUGAAUAUAUUUAAAUAGCUGCAGUAUCUCUAACUGUACAAAGGUAGCAUAAUAAUUUGUUUUUUAAUUAAAAACUAGAAUGAAAGAUUUAAUGAAAUAUAAACUGUCUCAAUAUAAAUAAUAAUUAAAUUUAUUUUUAAUUUAAAAAAAUUAAAUAAAUUUUAAAGACGAGAAGACCCUAUAGAAUUUUAUAAUCAAACUUAAUUAAAUUAAAUAAUUAUUUAAAAAAUUAAAUUAAAUUAUUUUAUUGGGGAAAUAUAAAAAUUCAAAAAAUUUUUUUUAAUUUUUAACAACUAUAAUUGAAUUAUUGAUCUAAAAAUUUUAAUUAUUAAAAUUAAUUACCUUAGGGAUAACAGCAUAAUUUUUUUUUUAAGAUCAUAUUUAAAAAAAAGUUUAUGACCUCGAUGUUGAAUUAAAAUAAAAUUAAAAUGAAAAAAAUUUAAAAUUUAA